CACCUUCCAACAACUCCAUGGGAAGGCUAUGUAUGUGUUUGUGCAGGGUUUUCUUGAAGAUUUUCCUUAUUCGUUAUGCUGCCUGAAUUUGAUUUUCCUUUAUCGACUCAAUAUCCAGAAAAUAUAUUUCAGCUGUUGUCGGCGAGAAAUUGAUUUGGAUCCGUUUUGGGUUUCUUGAAGAUUUUCCUUAUUCGUUAUGCUGCCUAAAUUUGAUUUUCCGACAUAUUUCGGUUUAACCAGUGAUUUGAGUUGUGCGCAAUUUCAUCGGAUAUAAGUUGUAUAUGUAGACGUACAUUUGUGUGGAUCACCUUCCAACAACUCCAUGGGAAGGCUAUGUAUGUGUUUGUGCAGGGUUUUCUUGAAGAUUUUCCUUAUUCGUUAUGCUGCCUGAAUUUGAUUUUCCUUUAUCGACUCAAUAUCCAGAAAAUAUAUUUCAGCUGUUGUCGGCGAGAAAUUGAUUUGGAUCCGUUUUGGGUUUCUUGAAGAUUUUCCUUAUUCGUUAUGCUGCCUAAAUUUGAUUUUCCGACAUAUUUCGGUUUAACCAGUGAUUUGAGUUGUGCGCAAUUUCAUCGGAUAUAAGUUGUAUAUGUAGACGUACAUUUGUGUGGAUCACCUUCCAACAACUCCAUGGGAAGGCUAUGUAUGUGUUUGUGCAGGGUUUUCUUGAAGAUUUUCCUUAUUCGUUAUGCUGCCUGAAUUUGAUUUUCCGACAUAUUUCGGUUUAACCAGUGAUUUGAGUUGUGCCCAAUUUCAUCGGAUAUAAGUUGUAUGUGUAGACGUAAAUUUGUUUGGAUCACCUUCACAAACAUCUCCAUAGGAAGGCUAUGUAUGUGUAUGUGUAGGGUUUUCUUGAAGAUUUUCCUUAUUCGUUAUGCUGCCUAAAUUUGAUUUUCCGACAUAUUUCGGUUUAACCAGUGAUUUGAGUUGUGCGCAAUUUCAUCGGAUAUAAGUUGUAUGUGUAGACGUAAAUUUGUUUGGAUCACCUUCACAAACAUCUCCAUGGGAAGGCUAUGUAUGUGUAUGUGUAGGGUUUUCUUGAAGAUUUUCCUUAUUCGUUAUGCUGCCUAAAUUUGAUUUUCCGACAUAUUUCGGUUUAACCAGUGAUUUGAGUUGUGCCCAAUUUCAUCGGAUAUAAGUUGUAUGUGUAGACGUAAAUUUGUUUGGAUCACCUUCACAAACAUCUCCAUGGGAAGGCUAUGUAUGUGUAUGUGUAGGGUUUUCUUGAAGAUUUUCCUUAUUCGUUAUGCUGCCUAAAUUUGAUUUUCCGACAUAUUUCGGUUUAACCAGUGAUUUGAGUUGUGCGCAAUUUCAUCGGAUAUAAGUUGUAUAUGUAGCCGUACAUUUGUGUGGAUCACCUUCCAACAACUCCAUGGGAAGGCUAUGUAUGUGUUAGUGCAGGGUUUUCUUGAAGAUUUUCCUUAUUCGUUAUGCUGCCUGAAUUUGAUUUUCCUUUAUCGACUCAAUAUCCAGAAAAUAUAUUUCAGCUGUUGUCGGCGAGAAAUUGAUUUGGAUCCGUUUUGGGUUUCUUGAAGAUUUUCCUUAUUCGUUAUGCUGCCUAAAUUUGAUUUUCCGACAUAUUUCGGUUUAACCAGUGAUUUGAGUUGUGCGCAAUUUCAUCGGAUAUAAGUUGUAUAUGUAGACGUACAUUUGUGUGGAUCACCUUUCAACAUCUCCAUGGGAAGGCUAUGUAUGUGUUUGUGCAGGGUUUUCUUGAAGAUUUUCCUUAUUCGUUAUGCUGCCUGAAUUUGAUUUUCCGACAUAUUUCGGUUUAACCAGUGAUUUGAGUUGUGCGCAAUUUCAUCGGAUAUAAGUUGUAUAUGUAGACGUACAUUUGUGUGGAUCACCUUCCAACAUCUUCAUGGGAAGGCUAUGUAUGUGUAUGUGUAGGGUUUUCUUGAAGAUUUUCCUUAUUCGUUAUGCUGCCUGAAUUUGGUAAGAAAUCCGAAUUUUGGCUGUUUUCGGAGGGGGUAACUAAAAAGUCACCCAAUGGCCAGGCGGGAGAAGUCACAUGGCAACAAUUCCCAAACUCAUUAACACCAAUAACAUUAAAUUAACUUGUGCCAAAAAGUGGAAUAUUGCUCACAGCACCACCAUAUACCACUCAACCACAACCACAACCACAACCACUGCCAAUUCCUUUCACCUCCUAAACUAAUCAACGGCCCGUGUUUUUAAUUUCUAAUUGUAAUUGUAAUUUAUUUCAUAAAUAUGUUACUACACAAAACACAAUAUACCAAUUUUUCCUUUAGUUUGUCACAUUGUAUAUUACAGAGCACUAUAAAGACAUUAAAACAACAGUUGACUUUA